UUCCUGGUGGUCCAGUGGUUAAGAAUCUGCCUUGCAGUGCAGGAGACACUAGUUCGAUCUCUGGUCCAGGAAG
rnacentral:tRNA from 1 species